rnacentral:rRNA from 1 species
CGCUGGCGGCGUGCCUAACACAUGCAAGUCGAACGAAGCAAUUAAGAUGAAGUUUUCGGAUGGAAUCUUGAUUGACUGAGUGGCGGACGGGUGAGUAACGCGUGGAUAACCUGCCUCACACUGGGGGAUAACAGUUAGAAAUGACUGCUAAUACCGCAUAAGCGCACAGUGCCGCAUGGCAGUGUGUGAAAAACUCCGGUGGUGUGAGAUGGAUCCGCGUCUGAUUAGCCAGUUGGCGGGGUAACGGCCCACCAAAGCGACGAUCAGUAGCCGACCUGAGAGGGUGACCGGCCACAUUGGGACUGAGACACGGCCCAAACUCCUACGGGAGGCAGCAGUGGGGAAUAUUGCACAAUGGGCGAAAGCCUGAUGCAGCGACGCCGCGUGAGUGAAGAAGUAUUUCGGUAUGUAAAGCUCUAUCAGCAGGGAAGAAAAUGACGGUACCUGACUAAGAAGCCCCGGCUAACUACGUGCCAGCAGCCGCGGUAAUACGUAGGGGGCAAGCGUUAUCCGGAUUUACUGGGUGUAAAGGGAGCGUAGACGGCGAAGCAAGUCUGAAGUGAAAACCCAGGGCUCAACCCUGGGACUGCUUUGGAAACUGUUUUGCUAGAGUGUCGGAGAGGUAAGUGGAAUUCCUAGUGUAGCGGUGAAAUGCGUAGAUAUUAGGAGGAACACCAGUGGCGAAGGCGGCUUACUGGACGAUAACUGACGUUGAGGCUCGAAAGCGUGCGGAGCAAACAGGAUUGGAUACCCUGGGUAGUCCCCGCCGUAAACGAGGAAAUGCUAGGUGUGGGGGGGGGCAAAAGCCCUUCGGUGCCGCCGCAAACGCAGUAAGCAUUCCACCUGGGGAGUACGUUCGCAAGAAUGAAACUCAAAGGAAUUGACCGGGGACCCGCACAAGCGGUGGAGCAUGUGGUUUAAUUCGAAGCAACGCGAAGAACCUUACCAAGUCUUGACAUCCCCCUGACGGGCCGGUAACGCGGCCUUUCCUUCGGGACAGGGGAGACAGGUGGUGCAUGGUUGUCGUCAGCUCGUGUCGUGAGAUGUUGGGUUAAGUCCCGCAACGAGCGCAACCCUUAUCCUUAGUAGCCAGCACGUGAAGGUGGGCACUCUAGGGAGACUGCCAGGGAUAACCUGGAGGAAGGUGGGGAUGACGUCAAAUCAUCAUGCCCCUUAUGAUUUGGGCUACACACGUGCUACAAUGGCGUAAACAAAGGGAAGCGAGACAGUGAUGUGGAGCAAAUCCCAAAAAUAACGUCCCAGUUCGGACUGUAGUCUGCAACCCGACUACACGAAGCUGGAAUCGCUAGUAAUCGCGAAUCAGAAUGUCGCGGUGAAUACGUUCCCGGGUCUUGUACACACCGCCCGUCACACCAUGGGAGUCAGCAACGCCCGAAGUCAGUGACCCAACCGAAAGGAGGGAGCUGCCGAAGGCGGGGCAGGUAACUGGGGUG